UACAGAGGGUGCAAGCGUUAAUCGGAAUUACUGGGCGUAAAGGGUGCGUAGGUGGUUUGUUAAGUCAAGUGUGAAAUCCCUGGGCUCAACCUGGGAACUGCAUUUGAUACUGGCAGACUCGAGUCUGGUAGAGGGUAGUGGAAUUCCGCAUGUAGCGGUGAAAUGCGUAGAGAUGCGGAGGAACACCAGUGGCGAAGGCGGCUACCUGGACCAAGACUGACACUGAGGCACGAAAGCGUGGGGAUCAAACAGG
rnacentral:rRNA from 1 species